UGGAGAGAUAGCAAAGUGGCCAACUGCAUCAGACUGUAAAUCUGACGUCUUUAGACUUCGAAGGUUCGAAUCCUUCUCUCUCCAU
rnacentral:tRNA from 1 species